rnacentral:rRNA from 1 species
GAUGAACGCUGGCGGCGUGCCUAAUACAUGCAAGUCGAGCGAACGGACGAGAAGCUUGCUUCUCUGAUGUUAGCGGCGGACGGGUGAGUAACACGUGGAUAACCUACCUAUAAGACUGGGAUAACUUCGGGAAACCGGCGCUAAUACCGGAUAAUAUUUUGAACCGCAUGGUUCAAAAGUGAAAGACGGUCUUGCUGUCACUUAUAGAUGGAUCCGCGCUGCAUUAGCUAGUUGGUAAGGUAACGGCUUACCAAGGCAACGAUGCAUAGCCGACCUGAGAGGGUGAUCGGCCACACUGGAACUGAGACACGGUACAGACUCCUACGGGAGGCAGCAGUAGGGAAUCUUCCGCAAUGGGCGAAAGCCUGACGGAGCAAAGCCGCGUGAGUGAUGAAGGUCUUCGGAUCGGAAAACUCUGUUAGUAGGGAAGAACAUAUGUGUAAGUAACUGUGCACAUCUUGACGGUACCUAAUCAGAAAGCCACGGCUAACUACGUG